rnacentral:rRNA from 1 species
UACGUAGGGGCCAAGCGUUGUCCGGAUUUAUUGGGCGUAAAGAGCUCGUAGGUGGUUCGGCAAGUCAGUUGUGAAAUCUCCGCGCUCAACGCGGAGGGGUCAGCUGAAACUGCUGUGACUUGAGUCUGGUAGGGGAGUGUGGAAUUCCCGGUGUAGCGGUGAAAUGCGCAGAUAUCGGGAGGAACACCAGUGGCGAAGGCGGCACUCUGGGCCAGUACUGACACUGAGGAGCGGAAGCGUGGGGAGCGAACAGG